UUUCGGCAAGGGGGUCAUCCCGACUUACCAACCCGAUGCAAACUGCGAAUACCGGAGAAUGUUAUCACGGGAGACACACGGCGGGUGCUAACGUCCGUCGUGAAGAGGGAAACAACCCAGACCGCCAGCUAAGGUCCCAAAGUCAUGGUUAAGUGGGAAACGAUGUGGGAAGGCCCAGACAGCCAGGAUGUUGGCUUAGAAGCAGCCAUCAUUUAAAGAAAGCGUAAUAGCUCACUGGUCGAGUCGGCCUGCGCGGAAGAUGUAACGGGGCUAAACCAUGCACCGAAGCUGCGGCAGCGACGCUUAUGCGUUGUUGGGUAGGGGAGCGUUCUGUAAGCCUGCGAAGGUGUGCUGUGAGGCAUGCUGGAGGUAUCAGAAGUGCGAAUGCUGACAUAAGUAACGAUAAAGCGGGUGAAAAGCCCGCUCGCCGGAAGACCAAGGGUUCCUGUCCAACGUUAAUCGGGGCAGGGUGAGUCGACCCCUAAGGCGAGGCCGAAAGGCGUAGUCGAUGGGAAACAGGUUAAUAUUCCUGUACUUGGUGUUACUGCGAAGGGGGGACGGAGAAGGCUAUGUUGGCCGGGCGACGGUUGUCCCGGUUUAAGCGUGUAGGCUGGUUUUCCAGGCAAAUCCGGAAAAUCAAGGCUGAGGCGUGAUGACGAGGCACUACGGUGCUGAAGCAACAAAUGCCCUGCUUCCAGGAAAAGCCUCUAAGCAUCAGGUAACAUCAAAUCGUACCCCAAACCGACACAGGUGGUCAGGUAGAGAAUACCAAGGCGCUUGAGAGAACUCGGGUGAAGGAACUAGGCAAAAUGGUGCCGUAACUUCGGGAGAAGGCACGCUGAUAUGUAGGUGAAGUCCCUUGCGGAUGGAGCUGAAAUCAGUCGAAGAUACCAGCUGGCUGCAACUGUUUAUUAAAAACACAGCACUGUGCAAACACGAAAGUGGACGUAUACGGUGUGACGCCUGCCCGGUGCCGGAAGGUUAAUUGAUGGGGUCAGCGCAAGCGAAGCUCUUGAUCGAAGCCCCGGUAAACGGCGGCCGUAACUAUAACGGUCCUAAGGUAGCGAAAUUCCUUGUCGGGUAAGUUCCGACCUGCACGAAUGGCGUAAUGAUGGCCAGGCUGUCUCCACCCGAGACUCAGUGAAAUUGAACUCGCUGUGAAGAUGCAGUGUACCCGCGGCAAGACGGAAAGACCCCGUGAACCUUUACUAUAGCUUGACACUGAACAUUGAGCCUUGAUGUGUAGGAUAGGUGGGAGGCUUUGAAGUGUGGACGCCAGUCUGCAUGGAGCCGGCCUUGAAAUACCACCCUUUAAUGUUUGAUGUUCUAACGUGGACCCGUGAUCCGGGUUGCGGACAGUGUCUGGUGGGUAGUUUGACUGGGGCGGUCUCCUCCUAAAGAGUAACGGAGGAGCACGAAGGUUGGCUAAUCCUGGUCGGACAUCAGGAGGUUAGUGCAAUGGCAUAAGCCAGCUUGACUGCGAGCGUGACGGCGCGAGCAGGUGCGAAAGCAGGUCAUAGUGAUCCGGUGGUUCUGAAUGGAAGGGCCAUCGCUCAACGGAUAAAAGGUACUCCGGGGAUAACAGGCUGAUACCGCCCAAGAGUUCAUAUCGACGGCGGUGUUUGGCACCUCGAUGUCGGCUCAUCACAUCCUGGGGCUGAAGUAGGUCCCAAGGGUAUGGCUGUUCGCCAUUUAAAGUGGUACGCGAGCUGGGUUUAGAACGUCGUGAGACAGUUCGGUCCCUAUCUGCCGUGGGCGCUGGAGAACUGAGGGGGGCUGCUCCUAGUACGAGAGGACCGGAGUGGACGCAUCACUGGUGUUCGGGUUGUCAUGCCAAUGGCACUGCCCGGUAGCUAAAUGCGGAAGAGAUAAGUGCUGAAAGCAUCUAAGCACGAAACUUGCCCCGAGAUGAGUUCUCCCUGACCCUUUAAGGGUCCUGAAGGAACGUUGAAGACGACGACGUUGAUAGGCCGGGUGUGUAAGCGCAGCGAUGCGUUGAGCUAACCGGUACUAAUGAACCGUGAGGCUUAACCUU
rnacentral:rRNA from 1 species